AUGGCAGGCGAGAGAGGAAACGAUGGGGACAAAAAGGAAGGGAUGGGGAGCGCUCUCACGGUAAAAAAGGACAGAUGGGAUGGAGAGCAAAUGGGCCCCCAUUCGAAGGAUGGCUUGGCAGGCCUCUCUGCGCCCCCAAACACCCUCAAACCGCAUAAGAGGAGGAAGGAGGAGACUGAGUUUGGGGCCUGCGUGGACCAAAGAAGGAGAAGUCAAAAGAAAAAUGGGAGGGAAAGCUUGGAAGCAAAGUGGACAAAGACGCAAAAGAGGGGAAGUUGGAAGUGGAACUGCAAAAAAGGCGCUGGAAAGCAGCAGCUAGGAAAGAGGCAGCUCCCGAAGGGGCUCAGACAUAGCCUCGAAACGGGGUCCUGGGGAGGCGAUGGGGCAGAGCUGAGAGGGGGCAUCGCUGGGACGCCGCGGGGAGGUGAGGGAUGCCUCCAGGAGGGUGGGGAGUCGGGAAGGCGGCGCCCAGCGCGCGGGGGCUGGCGGAGGGGCCUCGGCGGGGUCCGGGAGCCGAGGACCGAGUGGGAGCGGGCCGGCGGGGAGGGGGCGCGGCGGGCACGUCGCCGACGCCGGGAGGAAGUAGGGAGACGAACCCGGGCAGGGGCGAAGGGGGAGAAGAGGAAGGAGCGGGCGGAGGGCUUGGGGGAAGGGCGGCGGGAGGAGGGGGGAGGGGAGAGGGGAGGGGGGCGGGGACGCGCCGCGACCAGACCUGGCCGGGGGCCGGGGGGCCGGCGGCGCGGACGGCUCGGUCACCUCGGGCUGUGGCCUCCCUCCCCGCGGGGCGAGCCGCCGGCGGGCAGGCGGGCUCCGCAGCUCCCCGGCUCUCUCGCCCGCCCUCCCGUUCUCCUCGGGCGGCGGCGGCGGCGGCGGCGGCGGCGGCGGGGGCCGGGGCGCGCGGCUCACAGCGGCGGUUCUUCGGCGCCGGGCCUUGGUUGCAGCGUCUUGGGAGGCGGCGGCAGCGGCGGCGGCAGCGGCCCGACCCGUGCGGUCACCAUCGUCCGCGGCAGCAGGCGCUGCGGGCCGAGCCCCUCAGCAGCCGGCGGCAGCCAUGGCCUACUGCGCUCGCUCCUCCCGCCCCCGGCGCUCUGCGGCGGCCGCGGUCCGCUCUCGCGCUCUGCGCCUGCGCGCGCCGCGCCCCGCCCCCUCCCCCGACCGCGCACGCGCACGCGCCGGCGCGCGCUCCCGCGCUCACUCACAAUCGCACCGGCCCGGGGCUUCCCGCGCCGCCUCCGGUACGUGGGCGGGAGACACGCGGCCCACGCGGCCGGGCUCAGGCAGCUAUGGAGACGCGCACCACGCCGACACCUGCACGCGCACUGUGACACGCGCCAUUCUGACACACGUGUGCUCUCACACUCCCCGACACCGGAGCCGCACGCGCUCGCACCCACACUCACCUGCCGGGACCACGUGGGAGGACUGGAGGGGCUGAUCCUCACCGUGCAACCGCAGUAG
rnacentral:lncRNA from 12 species